rnacentral:rRNA from 1 species
UACGGAGGGUGCAAGCGUUAUCCGGAUUCACUGGGUUUAAAGGGUGCGUAGGCGGCCCGUUAAGUCAGUGGUGAAAGCCUCCAGCUCAACUGGAGAACUGCCAUUGAUACUGACGGGCUUGAGUACAGACGAGGUUGGCGGAAUUGAUUGUGUAGCGGUGAAAUGCAUAGAUACAAUCAAGAACUCCGAUUGCGUAGGCAGCUAACUAGGCUGUAACUGACGCUGAGGCACGAAAGCGUGGGGAGCGAACAGG